rnacentral:rRNA from 1 species
UACAGAGGGGGCAAGCGUUGUUCGGAAUUACUGGGCGUAAAGCGCGCGUAGGUGGCCUCAUAAGUCCGCUGUGAAAGUCAAAGGCUCAACCUUUGAAAGCCGGUGGAUACUGUGAGGCUAGAGUACGGAAGAGGCGAGUGGAAUUCCUGGUGUAGCGGUGGAAUGCGCAGAUAUCAGGAGGAACACCAAUAGCGAAGGCAGCUCGCUGGGACGUUACUGACGCUGAGACGCGAAAGCGUGGGGAGCGAACAGG